rnacentral:rRNA from 1 species
AUUGAACGCUGGCGGCAGGCCUAACACAUGCAAGUCGAGCGAGCGUCGGACGGGUGAGUAAAGUAUGGGGGCUGCCCGAUAGAGGGGGGGAACUCCUGUAAACGGUAUCUAAUACAGCAUACUCUCUGAUAGCCCACAUGGGAUUAGUUAGUAGGGGGGGUAAUGGCUCACCUAGGCGACGAUCCCUAGCUGGUCUGAGAGGAUGAUCAGCCACACUGGGACUGAGACACGGUCCAGACUCCGACGGAGGCAGCAGUGGGGAAUAUUGCACAAUGGGCGCAAGCCUGAUGCAGCCAUGCCGCGUGUAUGAAGAAGGCCCUAGGGUUGUAAAGUACUUUCAGCGGGGAGGCGUUACCGACAGAAGAAGCACCGGCUAACUCCGUGCCAGCCGCCGCGGUAAUAC